CUUAAGUACGUGAGACAAACGUUCGUUGGCCACGUUUUUCUUUCGACCGUUGAGGAGCAAGCAGCUAAAGCUCGCGUCUUUUUUAAGGCCUUCUUUGUUCUAUUUUACACAACAGUUUAGCAUUUUAGGAUUUUUUUUGGAUAACCAAAGACUAUUUUUCUUCUUGGUUAUGUUUCUUGAAAUCACGACAAUGAAAGGAGACUUCCAGAAGGACAUCAAGACCGCGCCUGUUCAUAAGACAAAGUGGUCAAAACCAAAGAGGAGGACAUUUCUACGCGCAAAGAUGGGCGAAAGGAGACGAAGGGCCCGCUCCACGACCACGAGACCGCAGCCGAGUCCGGGCCGUGUCGACAGUACAGCUACGGGGAAUCAACGUUACCUAACAGCAGCCAUGGCACCAAGAAACACAACGCAAUAUUUAAUGGACCUGGUUUACGCUGAUCGAUUAGACGUUUCAGUGGAGGCGUGUGAUGUAAGCCACGAUUUCUCGAUGCAGAGUAAUGUCUCAUUUGAUGAGAGCGUUUUCUCAAUGUCGGACUCUGAUCACAACAGAUCUUUGGACUUUCAGCAGCGAGACUUCGAGAACGUGUUCUUCAGAAAUGAAAUCUGAGGUGUUUCCGAAACCUGACUCGAUUUCGUCGGAACGAGGCAACCGGGCAGCUGUGAAACCAUAGACCGUAACAUCAUUGCGCAGACUCCAACUCCGGGAGGCGGAACGCUCUGCGUCACAGCUGCGCGAUGACGUGUACACCACGCACCCAGUUGGGCCACACCACGUGGCCAGCAGGUAAACUCGCUCCACCCUUUGUGUACACGGUGUGAGAGCGUUGCUGUAACGUGCUGUUGCUGAGAAGUAUGCAUGCAUUGUUCUGCCAACGGAUGUGUGUGUGUUCCGAGACUUUUACAGGUUGCUGAUCCUCCUCGGUGGAUCUCAGCUGUCUGUGCAACCCAUCCAGAGCCUUUGGGACAGAGCCGCAUUGCUGCCUGCUCAUCACUGCUGGGGAACUGUACAUGCUGUGGUAAAUGCUUGAUGAAUGUAAACCUACACAAGUACACUCAGAGCUACAUCUCAUGUGUGGUGAUCUAGUUUGAGAACUUACUGUCAAUAUUGUAUUAACUAUUAAAAUUUGUUGAUUUGUUAACCUAAA